GGUCUCCACCCAACCACCUAGGGUUCGGACCUUGCAGUGAACCAGGAACGAACCAGGAGGCUGUCCCUUCGCAUUGCUAGUGCUGCUGGACAGGAACAGGACUGUUCCAGCGCUCAGCAUGCGGAUGGCCCAAACCGCCCUUCAUCCUAACCAGUCUGGAAUGGUCUGCAUACCCAGUUCCAGUCAGGAACACAUUGUCUGCGGGAACCUCCAGGGUGCCGGUACCCCCAAAACCGGGAGCCAAAGAAGGGGGGCUUGAAUCAAGGAGAACCGAUGGGAUUUGACCCCCAACGCAUUGAAACUUGGCUUGGCCAAAGCUGCCAAGGGGAGGUGGAAAUACAGCUACAUAGAAAGCACGAGACUGGAUCACGGAAGCCCGCCGCCCUUCCCAUCAUAGAGCUGCCACUCCUAGAGCGAUCCCAGAGAGGUGGGCAACAAGCAAAGCGGCAGAAGCCACUGCUGCACUCAAAGAAGAAGAGUAGGAUGACCCAGGCUGGACAGAUUUACAAGAAGAAACGGAUCUGUACCCAGUCGUCAGAAAUUCCAGUCCCUUCUGAGAAGAGAAUGGAAGCCCCGGAGCUUCCUGGCCUCUCCCUCCCACCCCAGAAGCCCCCCAGAAUUCCCAGCAUGGGGGGCAGGAUGAUGGUGGCCUUCGGCAUCCCCUUGCUGCUGCUGAUUGUUCUGUUCGUGGCAAGUCCUUCUCCGCUCUACCCGUCGGAGCCCUCCUGCCUCCAGAUGAACGGCUACGCCAGGUCCUUCCACCUGAUGCUGGAAUACCGGGGGCCACCACCCACCUAGCAGGAGGGGAGGAAUGUGGGGUGCUUCUUCCCAGGAGCGCCGGCCGGGGCAGAAGAAAGCUAUCUGUGCAUCCGCAUGGAACUGAGUUCUCUAAUGUGCGGAGAGAGAGGCGUUUUCGCAAGGAUUCCUGCUCUUAGGUCUGUGAGCUACGAUGUCACGGUGGACAUAGCCGAUUCCUCAGGAGACACUAAUGGAAAGUGUACCUGUAAGCAGCUCGGCCUCACCCUGUGGCCGUGAGUUCCAGGGGUUUUGUUUAUAUUAUUUAUUAAUUGCCCUUCUUAAGCACCAAUUGAAGCAAUGUUAAAAGGAGAAAAGAAAUUCGAAAGCAGCCAACAUUCAGACCUGUUAAACAGGACCAAAAGAUUUUUAAAACCAUCGCUAAAACCAUUAAAGGAUUUUUACACCUCUCUGAAUAAAACGCGAGCACUUCCACCCUCUCA
rnacentral:lncRNA from 1 species